GGCUUUAUAGUCUAAUUUAUGAUAUUAGAUUGCAAGUCUAAAGGUGUAAUUUUACUAAAGCCU
rnacentral:tRNA from 1 species